CUCCUGGAACGGGUGGUAAUGCCGGAUGUUCCAGUUGAUCGCAUGGUCUUCUGGGAAAGCUUUCGCGGUAUGGGAUGGGGUCGCGUCCUAUCAGCUUGACGGCGGGGUAACGGCCCACCGUGGCUUCGACGGGUAGCCGGCCUGAGAGGGCGACCGGCCACAUUGGGACUGAGAUACGGCCCAGACUCCUACGGGAGGCAGCAGUGGGGAAUAUUGCACAAUGGGCGCAAGCCUGAUGCAGCGACGCCGCGUGAGGGAUGGAGGCCUUCGGGUUGUAAACCUCUUUUAUCGGGGAGCAAGCGUGAGUGAGUUUACCCGUUGAAUAAGCACCGGCUAACUACGUGCCAGCAGCCGCGGUAAUACGUAGGGUGCAAGCGUUAUCCGGAAUUAUUGGGCGUAAAGGGCUCGUAGGCGGUUCGUCGCGUCCGGUGUGAAAGUCCAUCGCUUAACGGUGGAUCCGCGCCGGGUACGGGCGGGCUUGAGUGCGGUAGGGGAGACUGGAAUUCCCGGUGUAACGGUGGAAUGUGUAGAUAUCGGGAAGAACACC
rnacentral:rRNA from 1 species